CCUAUUUGAGGGGUGUCAUACCGGGUAUUGCAUUGAUGUGAUCCCUAUUAUAAAUAAACCUAGGACACUCCAUUUACAUUCACAAAUAUGCUUAGAUUGUAAUUGUUUUUAAAAUCUAGUUUUUUCCUUAGUUGGUUUCUUACACCUGUGUAUUUAAACUUAAAUUCCCUACUAUUUAAUCCUUACUUGUGUAUUUGCUAAUUGUACAAAUUCACAAAAUUUUUUUGGCCAGAAACCACACUAGUGUAUCCUGAGGGGUGCCUAACACCUUCCCUUUAGGAUAAUUUCAAACCCUUACCCUGUCUCUGGUUACCAAACAUAGUUAUAAACAAAUCCUAUAGGUGCCCUAACGCACCUUAAAUUGCUAUGUGGUGACUCUUCAAAAAAGGCAAA
rnacentral:lncRNA from 1 species